rnacentral:rRNA from 1 species
GACGAACGCUGGCGGCGUGCCUAACACAUGCAAGUCGAACGGACAGGCCCUGCUUUUGUUGGUUGCUCGAGUGGCGCACGGGUGUGUAACACGUGAGUAACCUGCCCUUAUCUUUGUGAUAUCUUCACGAAACUGGGGCUCAUACCGCAUAUGAUCUCUUGCUGCAUGGUGGUGGUUGGAAAGUUUCGGCGGUUCGGGAUGGACUCGCGGCUUAUCAGCUUGUUUGUGGGGUAGUGGCUUACCAAGGCUUUGACGGGUAGCCUGCCUUGGAGGGGGACCGGCGACAUUGGGACUGAGAGAGGGCCCAGAAGCCUACGGGAGGCAGCAGGGGGGAGUAUUGCAGAAUGGGCGGAAGCCUGAUGCAGCAACGCCGCGUGCGGGAUGACGGCCUUCGGGUUGUAAACCGAUUUCGCCUGUGACGAAGAGUGAGUGACGGUAAUGGGUAAAGAAGCACCGGCUAACUACGUG